rnacentral:rRNA from 1 species
CCUACGGGUAGCAGCAGUGAGGAAUAUUGGUCAAUGGACGAGAGUCUGAACCAGCCAAGUAGCGUGAAGGAUGACUGCCCUAUGGGUUGUAAACUUCUUUUAUAUGGGAAUAAAAUGUUCCACGUGUGGGAUUUUGUAUGUACCAUAUGAAUAAGGAUCGGCUAACUCCGUGCCAGCAGCCGCGGUAAUACGGAGGAUCCGAGCGUUAUCCGGAUUUAUUGGGUUUAAAGGGAGCGUAGGUGGAUUGUUAAGUCAGUUGUGAAAGUUUGCGGCUCAACCGUAAAAUUGCAGUUGAAACUGGCAGUCUUGAGUACAGUAGAGGUGGGCGGAAUUCGUGGUGUAGCGGUGAAAUGCUUAGAUAUCACGAAGAACUCAGAUUGCGAAGGCAGUUCACUGGACUGCAACUGACACUGAGGCUCGAAAGUGUGGGUAUCAAACAGGAUUAGAUACCCUAGUAGUC